UACGUAGGUGGCAAGCGUUGUCCGGAUUUACUGGGCGUAAAGAGCGCGCAGGCGGUCGUUCAAGUCGCGUGUGAAAGCCCCCGGCUCAACUGGGGAGGGUCACGCGAUACUGAUCGACUCGAAGGCAGGAGAGGGUAGUGGAAUUCCUGGUGUAGCGGUGAAAUGCGUAGAUAUCAGGAGGAACACCGAUGGCGAAGGCAGGUCUCUGGGCAUUAACUGACGCUGAGGAGCGAAAGCAUGGGGGAGCGAACAGG
rnacentral:rRNA from 1 species